UACAGAGGGGGCAAGCGUUGUUCGGAAUUACUGGGCGUAAAGGGCGCGUAGGCGGCCUGUUUAAGUCGAACGUGAAAUCCCCGGGCUCAACCCGGGAACUGCGUCCGAUACUGGCAGGCUUGAAUCCGGGAGAGGGAUGCGGAAUUCCAAGUGUAGCGGUGAAAUGCGUAGAUAUCUGGAGGAACACCGGUGGCGAAGGCGGUUGGCUGGGCCGUGGCUGACACUGAGGCGCGACAGCGUGGGGAGCAAACAGGAUUGAGAUACCC
rnacentral:rRNA from 1 species